ensembl:lncRNA LINC01968 long intergenic non-protein coding RNA 1968
AUGAGGAUAGCAGGGCGUCUGCCCCAGGGACCCCCCGCACGGAGGUGGCUGUGUCGGCAACAGUGGUGUCACAGUAGAUGCAGUCUGACCUGAGCCAUGAAGAAGUGCAGAGUCCCCAAGAGGCCAGAGAGCUCACGUCUGGUUAGAGUCGGGGUGUUUGAUGGGAAGAUGAAAGGAGGAGCUGGCAUCUGAGAUUUAGCAGAGAUUCCGUUCGGAAGGAUUCUGGCGAAACAGCGUGAGUUGACAACUCUGCUUCUGAAUAGUACAUUAUUUAUUCAGUGCCAGCCACGAGCCCGGCAGGUGAUGAGCUAAACUAAACUUGCUGGCACACACACGCAGAACUCAGGAACAGCAGAGUGAUGGCAGCCUCAUCUCAAAGUGGCUCCUUCAAGGAGGAGGACUAAGAGUGUUAAGCCAGGUCAUAAGAAGCCUUGCAGCUUCUUGAUUCUCAGAAUGCUUGCUCUGGAAGAAGCCAGCUGCCGUGUAAGAAAUCAGAUGUCUCUGAGACCACCAUGCUGUGAGAGGCCACGACUGCCACAUGCAGAGGCUACAUGGAGAGAGAGAGAGAGAGGAGAGGGACAGAGAGAGAGAUGCUCAGCCAUCCCCGAGCCAAGGCAUAAACACAUGAGUGAGGAAGCCAGGUUGGAUGUUCCCACCCCCUCCGGUCCUCAGAUGACACCAGCCUCAGCUGCCAUCUGACUGCAACCAGAAGAGGCACCCAGAAAGACCUGCCCAGCUGAGCCCAGUCAAUCCUUAGAACAAUGAGAAGUAAUAAUAAAUUUGUGUUUUAAGU